UUUUUUUUAUUAGUAAAAAUAUUAUAUAUAUAUAAAUCAACACGAGAAACUAAGUACACUGAACGUAUACAAGAAAACGCCUAGCUCAUACAAGAGAGCCCCUAAUGACCUAAAAAUCCCAUAAAACCUACCCAAAAUACACUAACCCGAAUUGGACACACCUACCCAACCCCAACCCCUUGAUUCCAUAAAACUAAUCCUCUACCCGAACAUCCCACAAUGAGAUCGUCUUCAUAAUGCCCUCCCUUUAUUCUUCCCUCGACUUGAGCUAUCUCCCUUAGCAUCGUAGUUGAUUGAACAUAGAAGACGCUUUAAUUCCCUGCUUUUCUUAAAAUUUAAAACUUAUAGGUUCCUUUGGUG